rnacentral:rRNA from 1 species
UACAUGUGGGGCAAGCGUUGUUCGGAAUUACUGGGCGUAAAGCGUGCGUAGACGGCUAUCUAAGUCGGGUGUGAAAGCCCCGGGCUCAACCUGGGAAUUGCAUUCGAGACUGAAUAGCUAGGGUACGGUAGAGGGAAGCGGAAUUUCCGGUGUAGCGGUGAAAUGCGUAGAUAUCAGGAGGAAUACCGAUGGCGGAGGCAGGUCUCUGGGCUGACACUGACGCUCAUGCACGAAAGCGUGGGGAGCAAACAGG